rnacentral:tRNA from 1 species
GGGACCGUAGCUCAGCGGUUAGAGCAGGGGACUCAUAAUCUCUUGGUCGCUGGUUCGAUUCCAGCUGGUCCCA